rnacentral:rRNA from 1 species
CAGGGUAUUGCCUCAGUAACGGCGAGUGAAGCGGCAACAGCUCAAAUUUGAAAGCUGGCUCCUUCGGGGCCCGCGUUGUAAUUUGUAGAGGAUGCUUCGGGUGUGGUACCGGUCUAAGUUCUUUGGAACAAGGCGUCAUAGAGGGUGAGAAUCCCGUAUGUGACUGGUCACCUUCGCCCAUGUGAAGCUCCUUCGACGAGUCGAGUUGUUUGGGAAUGCAGCUCUAAAUGGGUGGUAUAUUUCAUCUAAAGCUAAAUAUUGGCCAGAGACCGAUAGCGCACAAGUAGAGUGAUCGAAAGAUGAAAAGCACUUUGGAAAGAGAGUUAAACAGUACGUGAAAUUGUUGAAAGGGAAGCGCUUGCAAUCAGACUUGCACGGCGUCGAUCAACCUGGGUUCUCCCUGGUGCACUCGGCGUCGUUCAGGCCAGCAUCAGUUUUGGCGGUUGGAUAAAGGCCUUGGGAACGUAAGUCCCUUCGGGGACCGUUAUAGCCCUCGGUGCAAUGCAGCCUGCCGGGACUGAGGACCGCGCUUCGGCUAGGAUGCUGGCGUAAUGGUUGUAAGCGACCCGUCUUGAAACACGGACCAAGGAGUGUAACAUUUAUGCGAGUGUUUGGGUGUUAAACCCAUACGCGGAAUGAAAGUGAACGGAGGUGAGAACCCUUAAGGGUGCAUCAUCGACCGGUCCUGAUGUCUUCGGAUGGAUCUGAGUAAGAGCAUAAAUGCUGCGACCCGAAAGAUGGUGAUCUAUACCUGAAUAGGGUGAAGCCAGAGGAAACUCUGGUGGAGGCUCGCAGCGGUUCUGACGUGCAAAUCGAUCGUCAAA